rnacentral:rRNA from 1 species
UACGAAGGGUACAAGCGUUGUUCGGAAUUACUGGGCGUAAAGCGCGCGUAGGCGGACGCGUAAGUCGAUUGUGAAAGCCCUGGGCUUAACCUGGGAACUGCAGUCGAAACUGCGGUGUCUUGAGUGCCUGAGAGGAUGGCGGAAUUCCCGGUGUAGUAGUGAAAUACGUAGAUAUCGGGAAGAACACCUGAGGCGAAGGCGGCUAUCCUGGCGGUGCACUGACGCGUGAG